UGGGGAAUAUUGCACAAUGGGCGCAAGCCUGAUGCAGCCAUGCCGCGUGUGUGAAGAAGGCCUUCGGGUUGUACAGCACUUUCAGCGGGGAGGAAGGCGUUAAGGUUAAUAACCUUGGCGAUUGAUGUUACCCGCAGAAGAAGCACCGGCUAACUCCGUGCCAGCAGCCGCGGUAAUACGGAGGGUGCAAGCGUUAAUCGGAAUUACUGGGCGUAAAGCGCACGCAGGCGGUCUGUCAAGUCGGAUGUGAAAUCCCCGGGCUCAACCUGGGAACUGCAUUCGAAACUGGCAGGCUAGAGUCUUGUAGAGGGGGGUAGAAUUCCAGGUGUAGCGGUGAAAUGCGUAGAGAUCUGGAGGAAUACCGGUGGCGAAGGCGGCCCCCUGGACAAAGACUGACGCUCAGGUGCGAAAGCGUGGGGAGCAAACAGG
rnacentral:rRNA from 1 species